rnacentral:rRNA from 1 species
GACGAACGCUGGCGGCGUGCUUAACACAUCAGCGACGAGGCGGUGGCGAACGGGUGAGUAACGCGUAAUCAACCUGCCCUUCAGAGGGGGACAACAGUUGGAAACGAAUGCUAAUACCUAAUACUGUGGGAGAGCUUUGCGUCCCAUUAGCAAGUUGGAGAGGUAACGGCUCACCAAGGCGAUGAUGGUGAGCCGCACUGGGAGGGUGAUAGGCCACAAGGGGCCUGAGACAGGGGCCUUACGCCUACGGGAGGCAGCAGUGGGGAAUAUUGGACAAUGGACCAAAGUCUGAUCGAGGUAUUCUGGUUGCACGACGAAGUUUUAGGAAUGUAAAGUGCUGUCAGUUGGGAAGCGGUACCAACAGAAGAAGUGACGGCUAAAUACGUGCCAGCAGCCGCGGUAAUAC